GGGUUGUGAGGUUAAGCGACUAAGCGUACACGGUGGAUGCCCUGGCAGUCAGAGGCGAUGAAGGACGUGCUAAUCUGCGAAAAGCGUCGGUAAGGUGAUAUGAACCGUUAUAGCCGGCGAUGUCCGAAUGGGGAAACCCAGUGCAAUUCGUUGCACUAUCGUUAACUGAAUACAUAGGUUAACGAGGCGAACCGGGGGAACUGAAACAUCUAAGUACCCCGAGGAAAAGAAAUCAACCGAGAUUCCCCCAGUAGCGGCGAGCGAACGGGGAGCAGCCCAGAGUCUGAAUCAGCUUGUGUGUUAGUGGAACGGUCUGGAAAGUCCGACGGUACAGGGUGAUAGUCCCGUACACCAAAAUGCACAGGCUGUGAACUCGAAGAGUAGGGCGGGACACGUGGUAUCCUGUCUGAAUAUGGGGGGACCAUCCUCCAAGGCUAAAUACUCCUGACUGACCGAUAGUGAACCAGUACCGUGAGGGAAAGGCGAAAAGAACCCCGGCGAGGGGAGUGAAAAAGAACCUGAAACCGUGUACGUACAAGCAGUGGGAGCACCUUCGGGUGUGACUGCGUACCUUUUGUAUAAUGGGUCAGCGACUUAUAUUCUGUAGCAAGGUUAACCGUAUAGGGGAGCCGCAGGGAAACCGAGUCUUAACUGGGCGUUAAGUUGCAGGGUAUAGACCCGAAACCCGGUGAUCUAGCCAUGGGCAGGUUGAAGGUUGGGUAACACUAACUGGAGGACCGAACCGACUAAUGUUGAAAAAUUAGCGGAUGACUUGUGGCUGGGGGUGAAAGGCCAAUCAAACCGGGAGAUAGCUGGUUCUCCCCGAAAGCUAUUUAGGUAGCGCCUCGUGAACUCAUCUUCGGGGGUAGAGCACUGUUUCGGCUAGGGGGUCAUCCCGACUUACCAACCCGAUGCAAACUACGAAUACCGAAGAAUGUUAUCACGGGAGACACACGGCGGGUGCUAACGUCCGUCGUGAAGAGGGAAACAACCCAGACCGCCAGCUAAGGUCCCAAAGUCAUGGUUAAGUGGGAAACGAUGUGGGAAGGCACAGACAGCCAGGAUGUUGGCUUAGAAGCAGCCAUCAUUUAAAGAAAGCGUAAUAGCUCACUGGUCGAGUCGGCCUGCGCGGAAGAUGUAACGGGGCUAAACCAUGCACCGAAGCUGCGGCAGCGACACUAUGUGUUGUUGGGUAGGGGAGCGUUCUGUAAGCCUGCGAAGGUGACCUGUGAGGGUUGCUGGAGGUAUCAGAAGUGCGAAUGCUGACAUAAGUAACGAUAAAGCGGGUGAAAAGCCCGCUCGCCGGAAGACCAAGGGUUCCUGUCCAACGUUAAUCGGGGCAGGGUGAGUCGACCCCUAAGGCGAGGCCGAAAGGCGUAGUCGAUGGGAAACAGGUUAAUAUUCCUGUACUUGGUGUUACUGCGAAGGGGGGACGGAGAAGGCUAUGUUAGCCGGGCGACGGUUGUCCCGGUUUAAGCAUGUAGGCUGGUUGUCCAGGCAAAUCCGGAUAAUCAAGGCUGAGGUGUGAUGACGAGGCACUACGGUGCUGAAGUAACAAAUGCCCUGCUUCCAGGAAAAGCCUCUAAGCAUCAGGUAACAUCAAAUCGUACCCCAAACCGACACAGGUGGUCAGGUAGAGAAUACCAAGGCGCUUGAGAGAACUCGGGUGAAGGAACUAGGCAAAAUGGUGCCGUAACUUCGGGAGAAGGCACGCUGGUGUGUAGGUGAAGCCCCUGCGGGUGGAGCUGAGACCAGUCGAAGAUACCAGCUGGCUGCAACUGUUUAUUAAAAACACAGCACUGUGCAAACACGAAAGUGGACGUAUACGGUGUGACGCCUGCCCGGUGCCGGAAGGUUAAUUGAUGGGGUUAUCCGUAAGGAGAAGCUCUUGAUCGAAGCCCCGGUAAACGGCGGCCGUAACUAUAACGGUCCUAAGGUAGCGAAAUUCCUUGUCGGGUAAGUUCCGACCUGCACGAAUGGCGUAAUGAUGGCCAGGCUGUCUCCACCCGAGACUCAGUGAAAUUGAACUCGCUGUGAAGAUGCAGUGUACCCGCGGCAAGACGGAAAGACCCCGUGAACCUUUACUAUAGCUUGACACUGAACAUUGAGCCUUGAUGUGUAGGAUAGGUGGGAGGCUUUGAAGCGUGGACGCCAGUCUGCGUGGAGCCAACCUUGAAAUACCACCCUUUAAUGUUUGAUGUUCUAACGUUGGCCCCUUACCGGGGUUGCGGACAGUGUCUGGUGGGUAGUUUGACUGGGGCGGUCUCCUCCCAAAGCGUAACGGAGGAGCACGAAGGUUAGCUAAUCCUGGUCGGACAUCAGGAGGUUAGUGCAAUGGCAUAAGCUAGCUUGACUGCGAGCGUGACGGCGCGAGCAGGUGCGAAAGCAGGUCAUAGUGAUCCGGUGGUUCUGAAUGGAAGGGCCAUCGCUCAACGGAUAAAAGGUACUCCGGGGAUAACAGGCUGAUACCGCCCAAGAGUUCAUAUCGACGGCGGUGUUUGGCACCUCGAUGUCGGCUCAUCACAUCCUGGGGCUGAAGUAGGUCCCAAGGGUAUGGCUGUUCGCCAUUUAAAGUGGUACGCGAGCUGGGUUUAGAACGUCGUGAGACAGUUCGGUCCCUAUCUGCCGUGGGCGCUGGAGAAUUGAGGGGGGCUGCUCCUAGUACGAGAGGACCGGAGUGGACGCAUCACUGGUGUUCGGGUUGUCAUGCCAAUGGCACUGCCCGGUAGCUAAAUGCGGAAGAGAUAAGUGCUGAAAGCAUCUAAGCACGAAACUUGCCCCGAGAUGAGUUCUCCCUGAGACUUUAAGUCUCCUGAAGGAACGUUAAAGACGAUGACGUUGAUAGGCCGGGUGUGUAAGCGCAGCGAUGCGUUGAGCUAACCGGUACUAAUGAACCGUGAGGCUUAACCUUACAACGCCGAAG
rnacentral:rRNA from 1 species